rnacentral:rRNA from 1 species
AAACUCGGAUUAAUACCGGAUAUUCUUAUUUAAUCACAUGAUUUUUUAAGGAAAGGUCAGCCGAACUAAGAUGGGCUCGCGUUCUAUCAGCUAGUUGGUAGGGUAAUGGCCUACCAAGGCUACGACGGAUAGCUGGUCUGAGAGGACGAUCAGCCACACUGGGACUGAGACACGGCCCAGACUCCUACGGGAGGCUGCAGCAGGGAAUAUUGCGCAAUGAGCGAAAGCUUGACGCAGCGACACCGCGUGUGGGAUGACGGAUCUAGGUUUGUAAACCACUUUCAGGAGGGAAGAAAAUGACGGUACCUCCACAAGAAGCCCCGGCCAA